UGCCCCAUGGCUGAGUUGGUUACAGCGUCCGACUGUUACGUUAUCUAAUUACGUCAUCGGAAGGUCAUGAGUUCAAUCCUCAUUGGGGCAG